rnacentral:lncRNA from 1 species
CUCCAGUGACAGGUUUGGUAGAUGCAGUUAGGGAGUACUGCAAAGAUAAGUAAAAUCUUGGUCCUGAUUUACCCAAAACUUAGACGAGGAAACCAUGGAGGGCACGACUAGUGGGACAACCUGGCCACUUCCGAGAAUCCUUUAACACAGCCUUUCCGUUCCUCUUCCCUUCUUAGUGAGGCGUCCCUCCAUCUGUGACAGCCAUCCCUAUGCCGGUUGACAUACCAUCUUAGCAUCCAUGGCCCUUGCGUUGGGAUUCCACAUGGCGAACUCAGAUGAGUACUGACGGGGCAUUGGGCAGCCGUAGAGAAGCUGUCAGCUGGGUUUCCUUCCCUGGUGACAAAAGGAAGACUUGCAUGGUGGCACACACCUGUAAUCCUAGCACUCAGGAAGCCGAGGCAGGAGGAUGGCUGGGAGUUCAAGGGCAGCCUGGGCUAUACAUUGAUACCCUGUUUCAAAAACCAAAUAUAUAAAUAGUAACACAAGAAAAGGUCUUUAAAUGAGCUGGAAAUGGGCUGUGUAACCAACAUGGUAUUUCCUGUCCGGCAGCUGAAGUGGGUCAGGUCCUUCUGGCACGUAGGUGGUAGCUUUGAAGGAUCAGGAGCUUCGAUGGCCCCGAGUAACAGGCGGUCCUUGCUGAGGCCAAUCCAGCUGCACCCUGGACAGUUCAGGAGCAGAGCACUCAGUGGCCUGCUGAAUGUCCACUUAGUUCAGAGGUACCGCUCCAGACGCGCUAGCCUGAAACAGGAGUCACGCGGACGUCAUCUCUGCUGAAUGUUCCCAUGGCAGUGACACCGAUUUUCACGACAUUCCGAGAGAACCCUGAAGUCGAGUCCUGCAGAUGGCUUGGGAUGUUUCUUGACAGCGAAAUACUACUCCAUGUGACAGAGUCUGUGGCGUUUGGAGGACCCCCGAGGUACGGCGCCUUCCGGAGAACAGCAUGUAGAUGCGAGGGGCAGGGAAACCUGAGAGCAGGGCAAGAAGACACAGCCACUCUGCCGCGGAGCACAACACAUGCAUUCAGAACCAUGCCUCAGAUCUGCAGGAAAUACUGACGGCCUUCUGGACUCAAGGCGAGUUUGAGAGGGGUGCAGAUUUUCCCCACAGAGACUCCCUCCCGUUCCAUUUCCAGCACCUGCCUGGCAGUCAGUUUGCCCGUCCUGGAGAUGAAGUCCCAGGCGCCCUGGCAUAGCCGGCCAACAGCCACGGUGUUCACUGUGGCCGUGGUCUUUUCUGUGAGCAGAGGGACUGGGCGAGGGAAAGGGAGAGAAGAGCCACAGGCACAGGCAGGUGGAUUUCAUGUCACUUCCCA